rnacentral:lncRNA from 1 species
AGCAGGUGACGACAAGAAGCACUCAAGGGUAAUGGGGCUGGCUGUAGCUUCAGAAGAGAACUGCCUCUUACCCCAGCAAGCACAAAGGGAACUCCCUCCUCCUUUUUGCCUUAAACCAAAACAACCCCCCUUGGAGAAUUUUGGAAAGGAGUACUACUGCAGGAAGAUGACAAGGCAGGCUGCCACAUGGGCUUGAGGAGCUACUUCCAAGAAAGAAAUCCUCAUACGUGCAAAAUCAUAAGAACUUGAGCCCCUUUUGUAUCAGAGCAACUUCCUCAGAGGCCUUCUAAGUUCAUUCUGCUUUCCAAGGUCUGAACUCAGAGACCUUCAAGAGAAAAUGAGAUUCCUGGCAAAGCAUCCCACUCCCUGAAUUUUUAAGAAAUCAGAACAAUUCAAGCUGCUAGUUAGUUCUGCAGCUAAAUACUGAAUAAAACAGGAUACGUAGAACAACACUGCUUUAACACUCCUUUUUCUUCAGAUCUGUAGCCUGAGAAAGGUUGAGGGCAGGAAGGGAGGUGAGGAAGGGAGAAAGUUUCCUAAACUGAGUGAGAAUUGCUACAAGAUGAUACAAUGACAUUUGCAAAAACUGAAAACCAAUUUAUCACAAAACAUCACUCUAGCAUUGGCAUGAGGCGCAAACAACAACAUCUAUGAAUUAUCACCUUUGAUUUCCAAGGAGCAGAAUCCGCACUGUGUAACUUUUGUAUAGAAGAACCAUUUCAGGUACCAACAGUAGGAAGGCAGUGACAGCAAGAGAAGCUGCUUAUGACUCCACAAGCAACUUGGCUAAGCACUUCUGGUGCAAUUUGCACACAAAGAUCGCAUCAACUUGUGGCUGAGCCAUUUCCCAUAGAGGGCCUCAUGGAUUUGCUGACACUUUCACCAGCCUCUCUUCACAGUACAGACCUCAACAGAUCACCAAAAUCCUUUUUAGCCCUCGGCUCUCCAAAUGCUGCCCAACCUCAGCCUCACUGCCAGCUUCCCAACUGACUUUAAUAUCCACUGGCCUGUCUUAGAACCAGCCUUUACACUUGUAUUACCUGCAAAACAGAAAGAUAAAUCUCAAUGCUAGCACAAAUCCUGAAUUUGUC